rnacentral:rRNA from 1 species
AGAGUUUGAUCCUGGCUCAGGAUGAACGCUAGCGGCAGGCUUAAUACAUGCAAGUCGAACGGUAAGUUGAAUAGCAAUAUUUGACCUAGAGUGACGUACGGGUGCGUAACACGUAUGCAACCUACCCAAAACUGGAGGAUAGCUCGGGGAAACUCGAAUUAACCCUCCAUAAGAUCAUAGAGUAGCAUUACUUAGUGAUUAAAACUCCGGUGGUUUUGGAUGGGCAUGCGUCUGAUUAGUUAGUUGGCGGGGUAACGGCCCACCAAGACGAUGAUCAGUAGGGGAACUGAGAGGUUGAUCCCCCACACUGGCACUGAGAUACGGGCCAGACUCCUACGGGAGGCAGCAGUAGGGAAUAUUGGUCAAUGGAUGCAAGUCUGAACCAGCCAUGCCGCGUGCAGGAAGAAGGCGUUAUGCGUUGUAAACUGCUUUUGCCAGGGGGAUAAAAUUUCCUUGCGAGGAACAUUGAAGGUACCUGGUGAAUAAGCCACGGGCUAACUACGUGCCAGCAGCCGCGGUAAUACGUAGGUGGCAAGCGUNGUCCGGAUUCACUGGGUUUAAAGGGUGCGUAGGUGGGCAAGUAAGUCAGUGGUGAAAUCUCCGGGGCUUAACCCGGAAACUGCCAUUGAUACUAUNUGUCUUGAAUACUGUGGAGGUCAG